UCUGUCUCUGUCUCUCUCUCUCUCUCUCUCACCCUCUCCCUCUCCCUCUCCCUCUCUCUCCCCUCUCUCUCUCUCUCUCUCUCUCUCUCUCUCUGAGUCAAAGGGGUGUGUGAUCUAUCUUCAGCUGGGAGCCGGCCCCACUCUGGAUUAAUCUGGAGAGAGAGCAUCAACAGGAGCAGAGCGUCUGUCAGCUUCAUCAUCAUCAUCGUCAUCCUCAGGCUGUUGGUGAUUAUGGGAUGAGUUAUGUGGUCAGCUGCCAUGGCGACCAGAGAAGGUGUGGCGGGAUGGGGUGCAUGAGUUCAUGACCACAGCGUCACAUGAUGCCACCACCUCCUCCACCACCUCCUCCACCACAACCUCCUCC
ensembl:lncRNA